CCUACGGGUGGCAGCAGUGGGGAAUAUUGCACAAUGGGGGGAACCCUGAUGCAGCGACGCCGCGUGAGUGAAGAAGCGCCUCGGCGCGUAAAGCCCUGUCAGCAGGGAAGAAAAUGACGGUACCUGACGAAGAAGCCCCGGCUAACUACGUGCCAGCAGCCUCGGUAAUACGUAGGGGGCCAGCGUUAUCCGGAUUUACUGGGUGUAACGGGAGCGCAGACGGGGAUGCAAGUCAGGAGUGAAAGCCCGGGGCCCAACCCCGGGACUGCUUUUGGCACUGCUUGGCUGGAGUGCAGGAGGGGUAGGCGGAAUUCGUGGUGUAGCGGUGAAAUGCGUAGAUAUCAGGAGGAACACCGGUGGCGAAGGCGGCCUGCUGGACUGCAACUGACGUUGAGGCCCGAAAGCGUGGGGAGCAAACAGGAUUAGAUACCCUAGUAGUC
rnacentral:rRNA from 1 species